rnacentral:rRNA from 1 species
GACGUAGGGGGCAAGCGUUGUCCGGAUUUACUGGGCGUAAAGGGCGCGUAGGCGGCCUGUUAAGUGUGAAGUGAAAUCUCCAGAGCUCAACUCGGAAACUGCUUCGCAUACUGGCAUGGCUUGAGGAAUGCAGAGGUGAAUAGAAUUCCUGGUGUAGCGGUGAAAUGCGUAGAUAUCAGGAGGAAUACCCAUGGCGAAGGCAGUUCACUGGGCAUUAUCUGACGCUGAGGCGCGAAAGCGUGGGGAGCAAACAGGAUUAGAUACCCUGGUAGUCCACGCCCUAAACGAUGGAUGCUAGACGUAAGAGGUAUCGACCCUUCUUGUGUCGCAGCUAACGCAUUAAGCAUCCCGCCUGGGGAGUACGGCCGCAAGGUUGAA